CAGUCGCCGCGGGAAUACGUAGGUGGCAAGCGUUGUCCGGAUUUAUUGGGCGUAAAGCGAGCGCAGGCGGUUAGAUAAGUCUGAAGUUAAAGGCUGUGGCUUAACCAUAGUACGCUUUGGAAACUGUUUAACUUGAGUGCAAGAGGGGAGAGUGGAAUUCCAUGUGUAGCGGUGAAAUGCGUAGAUAUAUGGAGGAACACCGGUGGCGAAAGCGGCUCUCUGGACUGCAACUGACGCUGAGGCUCGAAAGCCAGGGGAGCGAACGGGAUUAGAUACCCCAGUAGUCCCUGUCUCUUAUACA
rnacentral:rRNA from 1 species